rnacentral:lncRNA from 1 species
CCCAGGUGGCAAGUGCUGAGAAGAGUCAGGAGGAAACCCAGAGGAGGGUUGUCUGUGUGGGGUGACUCAGAUGGGGCAGAUCCCAUGCCAUGGUGUUGAAGGCUGGUGCAAGCUGAUGUGGCAGACUUACUCAAGCUGGACCCUUAAGUCUUACCUAACUGCUUCAUGAGAAACCAAAACCUGGGGGAGAGAUCAAGAAAAGGAGGUUGCAUCCCAUACCCAAUGCCAGCCCAAAGAAAAGAAGAAGGAGUCACAGGAAUGAUAGACAAGAUUAGUGUCACCGGGUCCCCUGCAGGAGUGAUGACUCAAACAGGAGUAACCAGAAGAUCACAAGUCUCAGAGGACCUGAUUCGGUUCCCAGCACCCACAAUGGAUGCUCGCAAACUGCCUGUAACUACAGCUCUGGAUGAUCUAGCACCCUCUCCUGGCAUCUG